rnacentral:piRNA from 1 species
UCUCUCAAAACAAUCUCACUGGUGCGAGAAU